GGGGGUAUGGCGCAGCUGGUAGCGCACUUGCAUGGCAUGCAAGGGGUCAGGGGUUCGAAUCCCCUUACCUCCA
rnacentral:tRNA from 2 species